CUGAUCUAAUCAGAUACGAAAUUAAAUGAAAUGGGUUGUUGGUGUGUACUUAUACAGAAGACAGCUCUCCUCAGUGCUAAGGAACUGAUUUAUUUAUGACUUGAGGAAAGAGCACUGCCUACCAAGUUACCUCCGCUUUCUGCAGCUCAGAAAUUGCUCCUCAGAGGACCUUUAACCAUGAAAUGACAGCUAAAUUCGCUUUAGUCACGGCUGUGAUCCUGUCUCAUUUCAAGUUUCUUGUUUUCUGCACCACUGUCUGUAAACAUUUGGGAGUAGGUGUACUCCUGGAAAGUAGACAGUGUGUCCAGAAGGUUUUCUUAUACCGUAGCCCCUCAUUUUGCUUCACUGGCUGCGCAAGAGAUGAGUCAAAUGGUGUGCCAUGUAAACUGGCAUUCUUAUGUAUGUAAUUACUAAAAUGUAAACUUAAGUUAGGCCACACCAUCACACUGUUUU